rnacentral:rRNA from 1 species
GACGAACGCUGGCGGCGUGCCUAAUACAUGCAAGUCGAACGCAUUUUCUUUCACCGUAGCUUGCUACACCGAAAGAAAAUGAGUGGCGAACGGGUGAGUAACACGUGGGUAACCUGCCCAUCAGCGGGGGAUAACACUUGGAAACAGGUGCUAAUACCGCAUAAUUCCAUUUACCGCAUGGUAGAUGGAUGAAAGGCGCUUUUGCGUCACUGAUGGAUGGACCCGCGGUGCAUUAGCUAGUUGGUGGGGUAACGGCCUACCAAGGCUGCGAUGCAUAGCCGACCUGAGAGGGGGAUCGGCCACACUGGGACUGAGACACGGCCCAGACUCCUACGGGAGGCAGCAGUAGGGAAUCUUCGGCAAUGGACGCAAGUCUGACCGAGCAACGCCGCGUGAGUGAAGAAGGGUUUCGGAUCGUAAAACUCUGUUGUUAGAGAAGAACAAGGAUGAGAGUGGAAAGUUCAUCCCUUGACGGUAUCUAACCAGAAAGCCACGGCUAACUACGUG